UGCCGGACGUUGAUGAAUGUGCAGCUUUUCAUGUGCCGCUCGUACAUCAUUGUGCAUCAGUCUACAGCUUUACAGUGAAAAUCUUUGGCCGUCCAGUGGGACUCGAAACGCUUGAGCGCUGCCAGCGGACUCAGACAGGCUCGGCUAGUUCCUCAUAAGCAGGACUUCCUUUCUAGCUGUGAGCUUGAUCAGAUUCCCAUCAGGAAUUCCAGGCAUUUUUCUGCGGCGUUCCUGGAGUUCCUCGCGACAGAAGCAUGUGGACAGUCCGCGGGCGGUGUGUAAGCGGCUCCACACCACAGACCCCCUCCGCUCCUCCUCAGCCUCGCUGUCUCGCUCUCAUGCUCAUUCCCAUCCCGGGUUGCCAGGGCAGCUUCCAGAAAUCCCUGCUCUCCUGUAAUGAGUCUGUGAGCGCCGGGAUCAGCUGGGAACGCGAAGGGCCUUCUUGGGUUCAUUUAGGGGGCAAAGUUGGGGAGAGAGGAGAAGAAUCAAGGCAGAAAAGUUGUGUGAUGAACACCUGAGGUCUAAAGAGCAUUCGGCAAUAAAAGCAGGAUUUGGAUCCGCGGCGGAAAAACAACUGUUGACUGUUGAUACUGAACUCAACAUGGAGGCUUCCAGCUUGAAU